GACGAACGCUGGCGGCGUGCUUAACACAUGCAAGUCGAACGGAAAGGCCCUGCUUUUGUGGGGUGCUCGAGUGGCGAACGGGUGAGUAACACGUGAGUAACCUGCCCUUGACUUUGGGAUAACUUCAGGAAACUGGGGCUAAUACCGGAUAGGAGCUCCUGCUGCAUGGUGGGGGUUGGAAAGUUUCGGCGGUGGGGGAUGUACUCGCGGCUUACGAGCUUGUUGGGGGGGUAGUGGAUUACCAAGGCUUUGACGGGUAGCCAGCCUGGGAGGGUGACCGGCCACAUAGGGCCUGAGAUACGGCCCGGACUCAUACGGGCGGCAGGGGUGGGGACCAUAGCACACAGGGCGGAGGCAGGAUGCAGCAACGCCGGGUGCGAGAGGACGGCUUUCGGGUUGUAAAAAGCGUUCGCCUGUGACGGAGCGUGAGUACGGUAACUGGGUAAAGAAGCACCGCCUACCUCCUU
rnacentral:rRNA from 1 species